rnacentral:rRNA from 1 species
AUAUUGUACAAUGGGGGCAACACUGAUCCAGCCAUGACGCGUGUGUGAAGAAGGUGUUCGGAUGGUAAAGCACGUUAAGUUGGGAGGAAGGGAGUUAGGUUAAUACCCUGAGGUUUAGACGUUACCAACAGAGUACGCACGAUCUAACUCUGUCCCAGCAGCCGCGGUAAUACAGAGGGUGCAAGCGUUAAGCGGAAUUACUGGGUGUAAGGCGCGCGUAGGUGGUUCAGUAAGAUGGGUGUGAAAUCCCCGGGCUUAACCUGGGAACUGCUUUCAUAACUGCUGAGCUAGAGUACGGUAGAGGGUAGUGGAAUUUCCUGUGUAGCGGUGAAAUGCGUAGAUAUAGGAAGGAACACCAGUGGCGAAGGCGACUACCUGGACUGAUACUGACACUGAGGUGCAAAAGCGUGGGGAGCAAAC